rnacentral:rRNA from 1 species
AGUGAACGCUGGCGUAGGCCUAACCCAUGCAAGUCGAACGGCAGCACAGUAAGAGCUUGCUCUUACGGGUGGCGAGUGGCGGACGGGUGAGGAAUACAUCGGAAUCUACUUUUUCGUGGGGGAUAACGUAGGGAAACUUACGCUAUUACCGCAUACGACCUACGGGUGAAAGCAGGGGAUCUUCGGACCUUGCGCGAUUGAAUGAGCCGAUGUCGGAUUAGCUAGUUGGCGGGGUAAAGGCCCACCAAGGCGACGAUCCGUAGCUGGUCUGAGAGGAUGAUCAGCCACACUGGAACUGAGACACGGUCCAGACUCCUACGGGAGGCAGCAGUGGGGAAUAUUGGACAAUGGGCGCAAGCCUGAUCCAGCCAUACCGCGUGGGUGAAGAAGGCCUUCGGGUUGUAAAGCCCUUUUGUUGGGAAAGAAAAGCAGCAGGUUAAUACCCCGCUGUUCUGACGGUACCCAAAGAAUAAGCACCGGCUAACUUCGUG